UACGUAGGGUGCGAGCGUUAAUCGGAAUUACUGGGCGUAAAGCGUGCGCAGGCGGUUUUGUAAGCCAGAUGUGAAAUCCCCGGGCUUAACCUGGGAAUGGCAUUUGGGACUGCAAGGCUGGAGUUUGGCAGAGGAGACUGGAAUUCCUGGUGUAGCAGUGAAAUGCGUAGAUAUCAGGAGGAAUACCGAUGGCGAAGGCAGGUCUCUGGGCUAUAACUGACGCUCAUGCACGAAAGCGUGGGGAGCAAAUAGG
rnacentral:rRNA from 1 species